rnacentral:rRNA from 1 species
CAAACGGGUCGGAACACGUACACAACCUUCCUUUAAGUGGGAAUAGACCAGGAAACUUGAUUAAUACCCCGUAACAUUAUGAAAUGGCAUCAUUUUAUAAUUAUAGCUCCGGCGCUUAAUGAUGGGUGUGCGGCUGAUUAGGUAGUUGGCGGGGUAACGGCCCACCAAGCCUGCGAUCAGUAACUGGUGUGAGAGCACGACCAGUCACACGGGCACUGAGACACGGGCCCG